UACGAAGGGGGCUAGCGUUGCUCGGAAUCACUGGGCGUAAAGGGUGCGUAGGCGGCUUUGUAAGUUAGAGGUGAAAGCCCGGAGCUCAACUCCGGAAUUGCCUUUAAGACUGCAUCGCUAGAAUCAUGGAGAGGUGAGUGGAAUUCCGAGUGUAGAGGUGAAAUUCGUAGAUAUUCGGAAGAACACCAGUGGCGAAGGCGACUCACUGGACAUGUAUUGACGCUGAGGUGCGAAAGCGUGGGGAGCAAACAGGG
rnacentral:rRNA from 1 species